ACCAACACGAUCGAAUUUACUACAGUAUUUUUUUAACAAUCCAGCUACAAUCCUCGCAAUUUGAAAUGUUAUAUGUUCUACUACACUAAAUCAGAACCGGUUGGGACAGUGUGGUUUUUCAGCCUUCAGUGCAGAUCGAGAGUCAUCUGCAGGCUGUGAUUUGAUGCUUUUAGCAUGCCUGAUGUUGACUGGGGAGGUAUAUGUGCACUCAUGCAGGAGAAGUAGAAGUUUUCACAUCCAAUUUGGCAUUUAGAGAAGCUGAUCUGAAGUCCGGUGUUGGCAGUGUGUGAUCGACAACCCUUGUUUUGCCUUGCUGCGCUCUAUUACCUUGUAGACAUUGUGGAACUUGGACAUGUUCUACUACACCAAAUCAGAACCAGUUGGGACAGUGCGGUUUUUCGUAGGGAGCCUUCAGUGCAGAUCGAGGGAUAUUUGCAGGUUGUGAAUGGAGGAUAUUCUCUUUUAGCAUGCCUGAUGUUGACUGGGGAGGUAUAUGUGCACUCAUGCAGAAGAAGUAGAAGUUUUCACAUCCAAUUUGGCAUUUAGAGAAGCUGAUCCGAAGUCCGGUGUUGGCAGUGUGUGAUCGACAACCCUUGUUUUGCCUCGCUGCGCUCUAUUACCUUGUAGAAGUUGUGGAACUUGGACAUGUUCUACUACACCAAAUCAGAACCAGUUGGGACAGUGCGGUUUUCGUAGGGAGCCUUCAGUGCAGAUCGAGGGAUAUUUGCAGGUUGUGAAUGGAGGAUAUUCUAUGGUAUUCAGAAAUGCCUCCAAGGAGUGGGUGCUGUUGCCAGGCUAUGCCAAAUGAACAUUUCUUGUCCGACAAGGGGAGGCAUCGCCAGGUUCUACUACACCAAAUCAGAACCAGUUGGGACAGUGCGGUUUUCGUAGGGAGCCUUCAGUGCAGAUCGAGAGAUAUCUGCAGGCUGUGAUUGGAGGAUUUUCUAUGGUAUUCAGAAAUGCCUAAAAGGAGUGGGUGCUGUCGCCAGGCUAUGCCAAAUGAACAUUUCUUGUCCGACAAGGGGAGGCAUCGCCAGGUAAACAUGGCUUAUGUCACAGUUGACCAUUGGACAGUGAUGAAUAUGGUCAUCGAUGAAGACAGAUGUGAUGUUUAUUGUAGGCCUGGAUGAUUGUUUGAAAAGUUUAGUGUGAACCUAAAGAAAUAAUCCAACAGCAAAGUUUUUGUAAAGACUUGUUUUCGCCACAUACCUCUACACGAAAAUGUUUGUGAAGAUAUUCUAAACGAGUUGUUUAGAUGAGCUGUCAGUGUAUUCAAUUUCUGAUAUCUGGGACUCUGGCGAAAGAAUUACGUACCAUAAAAUGAAACAACUCAGAUUGAAUAAAAUGAUUAUUCUGAAA
rnacentral:lncRNA from 1 species